rnacentral:lncRNA from 1 species
GUUUAAUCUUAUAUCUAUGAUUUUUUUUAACUUUUUAUUUCUGAUAUUUUUCCUAUGCAAUUUGCUUUGGAAAUUCAACAUAGAUAAUUAGGUCAUUUAGACAAAUAAAUACUAUUUCACUUCUCUUGCAGUCUGAUGAUUUUUAUUUAUUUUGUUUUCUUACCAAGCUGACCCAAACCUGCAGUAUAAUAUUGAAUAAAAAAGGUGAAAGUGAUCACUGUGCUUCAUCCAUCCAUAGUUUUGGAAGGAAAACAUUUAUUAGUCUUUCUUCAUUAAGUAUGAUCUUAGCUAUAGGUUUCCACAGGUGCCUUUAUGAGAUUUAGGAAGUUCCUUCUAUUCAUAGAUUCUAAAAAUAAUAAUAAAAAUCAAUUUUAUCCCUUUUAAAAUUAAUGUGGUAUAUCAAUAUUAAUUUUUGGAUGUUAAGCUAAUCUUGCAUUCUGGGAUAAAUACCACUUUGUCACGGUGUAUAAUCUUUCUAUAUUUUCUGGAGUAAUACUUGUUUUAAUUAAUUAAUUAAAUUAGUUAAUUAAUUAAUUAAUACUGUAAUACUUGUUUUAAGAUUUUUGAAUCCAUAUACCAUCUACCAAGGAUAUGAAUUUGUAUUUUUAUAUUCUUGUUGGGUUUUUUUUUUUUUUUGGAUUCCAUUAGUGUCCUUCGUUUCAAAGUCUGCCUCUCCAGAGAUUGUUUCCAACUUUGUCUCUUAGUAAACACUGGCUCUAUCUGACUCUGUCCUCUGCACUGUCACAAUGGCUCAGUUGCCCAUUAGACUCACAAAAUCUUACCCAGCAAAAAACACUGUGCAAGGACUUCAAGAAAGGAGCUGCAUCCAACAUUAAUCUAUUUCUCUAAGAGUUUCUCUAUCUGUCAGAUGUUCCUCCAUAGACAAAGAUUUGGGAUUAUUUGAGUUUGCAUUUCAAAGGCUGACUAUGCUAGUUGAGUUAGCACAGGGAAGUUGCUUGGUUUGGUGACCUUCUAGCCUUUGAUCAAGGAAUGCUGUAUAACUAUGGUUAUGCAACUGAGCUUAGGGUCCCUAAUCCAAAAAUUCAGACUCAUUUAUUAAAAAAAGAAAAGAAAAGAAAACUAAUAUCCAGUUUGACCAAGUAUAUCCUGCCAGAGAAUUCCUUAGACAACACAAGAAAUAAGUAUAUAGAGAGUAUAGGAAGAAGCUCAUUAUGUUCUCGCUGGACAAAUAUAUAUAGAUCUGGAAAGCUUGAAAAUAUUCUUCUUGGUUUUAAAAGAAACAUAAGCUCAUACAAAUGCUGAAUGAAGAAGGUAAAGUGAAAUUUACUCAUAAUUUUGGUGCAUUUAGUUAUGAAGUGAUUGUGUGAGAUGUCUGCUGGACACUAUAAUUAUAAUGAUUUUUCCAUUCGACAGGGUCAUCUACAUCUAUGUUGCUUCAAAGUUACUGCCUCUAAAUGACCCAUGUCAUUGUAGGUUCUUUAGAAUGUUCUUUUCAUCUUUAUGAAGUAUUUUUUGGUUAUUCCACAUACAUUUUAGUUUAUCAGGGACUCUGAAACAUCUUGAAACAGAUAAAUUUUUGUUUAACCUAGUGCCUCUCCAGGUGACUUUUUGUUCAAUUUUUUUUCCUUCACUUCAUUGCAGCAAUAUCUUCUGGAGUUGGUAUUUUAUGGAAUAGUCUGAUAAAUAUUGGCUUUCACUUUUGAUUUUCAUGUGUAUCCUGUUACAAUUACUUUUCUUAGAGAAGAAAUGAUGAUCAUAUACAUUUUAGGGUUUUUUUUUUUUUGGCAGUAUGUAUGUAGACAGAUUCUUAUUAAGAAAAAUAUUAUUGGGGCUGGUGCUGUGGCACAGCAGGUUAAGGAUGCUGGCCUGCAGUCCUGGCACCACAUAUAGGCACUGGUUAGGGUCCUAACUGCUCCAUUUCUGAUCCAGCACCAUGCUAAUGUGCCUGCCUGGGAAAGCAGCAGAGGAUGACCCUGCCACUCAUGUGGGAAACCCCGGGGAAGUUCCUGACUUCUGCCUGGCCUAGCUCUGGCUGUUGUAGCCAUUUGGGGAGUGAACCAGCAGAUAGAAGAUAUCUCUGUCUCUCACCGCCCCUCUCUCCCUGUACUCCGCCUUUCAAAUAAAUAAAUAAAUAAAUAAGCUUUUUUUUUUUUU